UACGUAGGGUGCAGGCGUUAAUCGGAAUUACUGGGCGUAAAGCGUGCGCAGGCGGUUUCUUAAGUCAGAUGUGAAAGCCCCGGGCUUAACCUGGCAACUGCGUUUGAAACUGGGAGACUUGAGUGUGGCAGAGGGGGGUGGAAUUCCACGUGUAGCAGUGAAAUGCGUAGAUAUGUGGAGGAACACCGAUGGCGAAGGCAGCCCCCUGGGUUAACACUGACGCUCAUGCACGAAAGCGUGGGGAGCGAACAGG
rnacentral:rRNA from 1 species